rnacentral:tRNA from 1 species
GGAGUUAUAUUGCACUAAGAAUCGGUUAAGACCAAUAGCCUAAAAGUUUCUACUGGUCUUCAAAACCAGCUUGUCUACGCCAGUGGAUAGGUGGGUUCGACUCCCACCCUCUCCC